rnacentral:rRNA from 1 species
GAAACGACUGCUAAGACUGGAUAGGAAGAAAUAAGGCAUCUUAUUUCUUUUAAAAGACCUAGUAAUAGGUAUACUUUAGGAGGGGCUUGCGCCAUAUUAGUUAGUUGGUAGGGUCAUGGCCUACCAAGACGAUGAUGUGUAGCUGGACUGAGAGGUUGAACAGCCACAUUGGGACUGAGACUCGGCCCAAACUCCUACGGGAGGCAGCAGUAAGGAAUUUUCGGCAAUGGAGGAAACUCUGACCGAGCAACGCCGCGUGAACGACGAAGUACUUUGGUAUGUAAAGUUCUUUUAUCAAGGAAGAAAAGCAAGUGGCGAACCAUUUGUUUGCCGGUACUUGAUGAAUAAGCCCCGGCUAAUUAUGUGCCAGCAGCCGCGGUAAGGCAUAAGGGGCAAGUGUUAUCCGGAAUUAUUGGGCGUAAAGGGUGCGUAGGCGGUCUAGUAAGUCAGUGGUGUAAUGGCAACGCUCAACGUUGUCCGGCUAUUGAAACUGCUAAACUUGAGUUAGAUAGAGGCGAGUGGAAUUCCAUGUGUAGCGGCAAAAUGCGUAAACAUAUGGAGGAACACCAGAGGCGUAGGCGGCUCGCUGGGUCUUAACUGACGCUGAGGCACGAAAGCGUGGGGAGCAAACAGGAUUAGAUACCCUGGUAGUCCACGCCGUAACGAUGAGUACUAAGUGUCGGGUUAAACCGGUACUGAAGUUAACACAUUAAGUACUCCGCCUGAGUAGUACGUACGCAAGUAUGAAACUUAAAGGAAUUGACGGGACUCCGCACAAGCGGUGGAUCAUGUUGUUUAAUUCGAAGAUACCCGAAAAACUUUACCAGGUCUUGACAUGUUUUCGCGAAACGGUAGUAAUAUCGUAGAGGUUAUCAGAAACACAGGUGGUGCAUGGUUGUCGUCAGCUCGUGUCGUGAGAUGUUAGGCUAAGUCCUAAAACGAGCGAAACCCUUAUCGUUAGUUGCCAGCACGUUAUGGUGGGGACUUUAACGAGACUGCCAGUGAUAAACUGGAGGAAGGUGAGGAUCACGUCAAAUCAGCAUGCCCCUUAUGACCUGGGCUACAAACGUGAUACAAUGGCUGUUACAAAGGGUAGCUGAAACGUAAGUUCUUGGCCAAUCCCCAAAAACAGUCUCAGUCCGGAUCGAAGUCAGCAACUCGACUUCAUGAAGUUGGAAUCGCUAGUAAUCGCGAAUCAGCAUGUCGCGGUGAAUACGUUCUCGGGGUUUGUACACACCGCCCGUCA